ACCUGGGUAGCUCAGUCGGUUGAGCGUCCGACUUCAGCUCAGGUCAUGAUCUUGUGGUUUGUGGGUUCGAGCCCCUCCUCGGGCU
rnacentral:tRNA from 1 species